rnacentral:rRNA from 1 species
CCUCCCACCCGUGUUUAUUUUACCUUGUUGCUUCGGCGGGCCCGCCUUAACUGGCCGCCGGGGGGCUUACGCCCCCGGGCCCGCGCCCGCCGAAGACACCCUCGAACUCUGUCUGAAGAUUGUAGUCUGAGUGAAAAUAUAAAUUAUUUAAAACUUUCAACAACGGAUCUCUUGGUUCCGGCAUCGAUGAAGAACGCAGCGAAAUGCGAUACGUAAUGUGAAUUGCAAAUUCAGUGAAUCAUCGAGUCUUUGAACGCACAUUGCGCCCCCUGGUAUUCCGGGGGGCAUGCCUGUCCGAGCGUCAUUGCUGCCCUCAAGCACGGCUUGUGUGUUGGGCCCCGUCCUCCGAUCCCGGGGGACGGGCCCGAAAGGCAGCGGCGGCACCGCGUCCGGUCCUCGAGCGUAUGGGGCUUUGUCACCCGCUCUGUAGGCCCGGCCGGCGCUUGCCGAUCAACCCAAAUUUUUAUCCAGGUUGACCUCGGAUCAGGUAGGGAUACCCGCUGAACUUAAGCAUAUCAAUAAGCGGAGGAA